ACAUAGAUGUGGAAAUAAGUGGUGAACACCAAGUUAAGCGGUGUAGAUGAUUUUUAGUGUAUUAAUAAUGUAUAAUUUAUUUUAGUGGUAUUAAUGUUGUUUUAUUAAAAAUGCACAUAGCUUUUGAAGCAAGAACAAUAGAGGAGUUUAUAUAUGACCACGACAAAAAGAUUUUUAUUUAAAUAUGAGAGAUAUUCUUAUUCUUAUCAUAUUUAGUAGUAUAUUCCAUCUAUUUUACGGUAAAUAUUUUUCUUUUUUUAUUGCUAGAUAAUUUACAUUUCCUUAAUUACAUUGUAUAUAGUGAUGUAUGAUUUAUUUUAUCAUUCUUUUUUUUAACAACAAAUAUUCUCUGGCUUAUAUCCCAUCUUUAUAGUGUUUGAAAUACAGCCCUACGAUAUAUACUUACGCGAAUGCGCGGGCUACCUUGUUGAUUUAAAAUGAACUCUCUCUUGCUGGUCACUUCGGCAGUGGCCAGGUUAAAUUCAUUGGCCAAGCUAUUAUGGAAUCAAGACAGCACGAAGCCGCAGAGGAGGAGCUCCAAGCACGAGCAGGCUCGACUCUCGAGUGCACAGGCGGACAAGCUCGAGCACGACGGGCGGCGUGACGGGCGAGCUCGAUAGGUCGGUGGACGAGCUCAACGAAUCAGAGCAAUCUGGAAGGAGGCGAGUAGGAAUGAGAUCGGCGGCAACACAAAUGGCAAGCUCCAUAGCAGCGCUACGUUGAAUGAAUCCCACCUUGAUGUCGAGAUUUUACUUCCCAUCAUACCCUUUGUAAUGGACAGUUGGAUAUGAAUGGUACCUCGUACCUCAUAGUACCUUGUGAGACCUUUUCAAGGAUGGGAAAGAUGCUCAUAAAAUUUGCUUACGUUUAUAAAGUGCUGCAGAAGCUUAAAUGGUC
rnacentral:sRNA from 1 species